CCUGCUCUCCCUGACCUAUUGUCUAUCUCUGUCCCAUCUCAAACCGACGGUACAUGUCUGUUAGAGUGUGAAAGCGAGGAAGGAAGAGCGUUCCCGGAGUCGAAACCCUUACCUCCUUCUCUCUUGUGAACGAAUCUGUGAUUAAAUUCCCAGUUUCUGAUGGCCUCUGGAUUUAGUGGCGAUGAAACAGCGCCUUUCUUCGGCUUCCUUGGCGCUGCUGCUGCUCUUGUUUUCUCUUGUAUGGGAGCUGCCUAUGGGACUGCCAAGAGCGGUGUUGGAGUAGCGUCAAUGGGCGUGAUGAGACCGGAACUCGUCAUGAAAUCAAUAGUUCCAGUUGUUAUGGCUGGAGUUCUCGGUAUCUAUGGUUUGAUUAUUGCCGUUAUUAUUAGCACUGGGAUUAACCCUAAAGCCAAAUCAUAUUACCUCUUUGAUGGUUAUGCUCACCUUUCAUCGGGUCUGGCUUGUGGUCUCGCUGGCCUUUCUGCUGGUAUGGCUAUUGGUAUUGUUGGCGAUGCUGGUGUUAGAGCUAAUGCGCAGCAGCCAAAGCUUUUUGUUGGUAUGAUUCUCAUUCUAAUCUUUGCUGAGGCACUGGCUCUGUAUGGACUCAUUGUUGGCAUCAUCCUCUCUUCCCGAGCUGGCCAAUCCAGAGCUGAAUAGAAUGCGUGGUUGUUGGCAUCACUGGUUACUCCGAGGUUGGUGAUGGUAGUAAAGAGUGUGCAGUAGUUCAAGAUUGGAAAACUACUGGGCACGGUAUUUGGUAACCUACUCCGAAAUUGUCUUCUUGGUUUAUGGUCAUCAGCUAGUAUUUUUGGUUUUCAAUAUCAUCGUGGCUUCAUAAAAGCACAUUGUCAUUGAUAAGAAAUGCAAAGAGUCUCAAUCCCAAAUAUUUAAGCGCUGCGAGUUGAAUAAUGAUAUCACUGCUGCUCGACAAUAAGUAUUUUGGAAGUGUCUUCCUAGAUGGAUGCUCUUUUUUAAUUAAGCAAUAUUUGCUGUUUGUGGAUAUUAUUUUUCUCUCAUUAUUUCCUGUAUUUGGUACCUGUUUAAGUUGUAGUAUUUCAUAUGAUUUGGUUACACGAUGCUAGAAAGUGAGAGCAUAUAGUCUCUCAAGUUCGGAGUAGUAUGAUUAUGUUUAUUUUACUGUCCAGAGCAACACAUUACCGUGAUCUAUAUGAUGUAUUGUGGAGCUA